AUUGACCUCGGAUCAGGUAGGGAUACCCGCUGAACUUAAGCAUAUCAAUAAGCGGAGGAAAAGAAACCAACAGGGAUUGCCUCAGUAACGGCGAGUGAAGCGGCAACAGCUCAAAUUUGAAAUCUGGCUCUUUCGGGGCCCGAGUUGUAAUUUGUAGAGAGUGCUUCGGGGGAGACCACGGUCUAAGUCCAUUGGAACAUGGCGUCAUAGAGGGUGAGAAUCCCGUAUGUGACCGUGGCUCAAGCCCAUGUGAAGCCUCUUCGACGAGUCGAGUUGUUUGGGAAUGCAGCUCAAAAUGGGUGGUAAAUUUCAUCUAAAGCUAAAUACUGGCUGGAGACCGAUAGCGCACAAGUAGAGUGAUCGAAAGAUGAAAAGCACUUUGGAAAGAGAGUCAAACAGUACGUGAAAUUGUUGAAA
rnacentral:rRNA from 1 species